rnacentral:rRNA from 1 species
GACGAACGCUGGCGGCGUGCUUAACACAUGCAAGUCGAACGAAGUGGCGAACGGGUGAGUAACGCGUAAUCAACCUGCCCUUCUGCGGGGGACAACAGUUGGAAACGACUUCUAAUACCGCAUACUGAUGGAGUGGAUUGCGUCUGAUUAGCUAGUUGGGGGGGUAACGGCCCACCAAGGCGAUGAUCGGUAGCCGGGCUGAGAGGGUGGACGGCCAAAGUGGGGCUGAGACACGGCCCAGACUCCUACCGGAGGCAGCAGUGGGGAAUUUGCCGCAAGGGACGAAAGUCGGAAGGAGGAACGGCGCGGGAGUGAUGACAGCCUUCGGGUUGAAAAGCUCUGUUAAUCGGGAAGCGGUACCGGAAUAGAAAGCCACGGCUAACUACGUGCCAGCAGCCGCGGUAAUUC